AUUGAACGCUGGCGGCAGGCCUAACACAUGCAAGUCGAACGAGUGGCGGACGUGUGAGUAAUGUCUGGGAACUUGCCUGAUGGAGGGGGAUAACUACUGGAAACGGUAGCUAAUCCCGCAUACCAUUGGAUGUUCCCAGAUGGGAUUAGCUAGUAGGUGGGGUAACGGCUCACCUAGGCAACGAUCACUAGCUGGUCUGAGAGGAUGAACAGCCACACUGGAACUGAGACACGUGCCAGACUCCUACGGGAGGCAGCAGUGGGGAAUAGUGCACAAUGGGCGAAAGCCUGAUGCAGCCAUGCCGCGUGUAUGAUGAAGGCCUUCGGGUUGUAAAGUACUUUCAGCAGGGAGGCGUUACCCGAAGAAGAAGCACCGGCUAACUCCGUGCCAGCAGCCGCGGUAAUAC
rnacentral:rRNA from 1 species